AAAUUGAAGAGUUUGAUCAUGGCUCAGAUUGAACGCUGGCGGCAGGCCUAACACAUGCAAGUCGAACGGUAGCACAGAGAGCUUGCUCUCGGGUGACGAGUGGCGGACGGGUGAGUAAUGUCUGGGAAACUGCCUGAUGGAGGGGGAUAACUACUGGAAACGGUGGCUAAUACCGCAUAACGUCGCAAGACCAAAGAGGGGGACCUUCGGGCCUCUUGCCAUCAGAUGUGCCCAGAUGGGAUUAGCUAGUUGGUGAGGUAACGGCUCACCAAGGCGACGAUCCCUAGCUGGUCUGAGAGGAUGACCAGCCACACUGGAACUGAGACACGGUCCAGACUCCUACGGGAGGCAGCAGUGGGGAAUAUUGCACAAUGGGCGCAAGCCUGAUGCAGCCAUGCCGCGUGUAUGAAGAAGGCCUUCGGGUUGUAAAGUACUUUCAGCGGGGAGGAAGGGAGUAAGGUUAA
rnacentral:rRNA from 1 species